rnacentral:rRNA from 1 species
AUGAACGCUGGCGGCGUGCCUAAUACAUGCAAGUCGAGCGAACAGAUGAGGAGCUUGCUCCUCUGACGUUAGCGGCGGACGGGUGAGUAACACGUGGAUAACCUACCUAUAAGACUGGGAUAACUUCGGGAAACCGGAGCUAAUACCGGAUAAUAUAUUGAACCGCAUGGUUCAAUAGUGAAAGACGGUUUUGCUGUCACUUAUAGAUGGAUCCGCGCCGCAUUAGCUAGUUGGUAAGGUAACGGCUUACCAAGGCAACGAUGCGUAGCCGACCUGAGAGGGUGAUCGGCCACACUGGAACUGAGACACGGUCCAGACUCCUACGGGAGGCAGCAGUAGGGAAUCUUCCGCAAUGGGCGAAAGCCUGACGGAGCAACGCCGCGUGAGUGAUGAAGGUCUUCGGAUCGUAAAACUCUGUUAUUAGGGAAGAACAAAUGUGUAAGUAACUAUGCACGUCUUGGCGGUACCUAAUCAGAAAGCCACGGCUAACUACGUG